rnacentral:sRNA from 1 species
UUACAACAGCACAGGACAACAGUCAGCG